ACUAUUUUGGCAGAAAAGUGCCUUGAAUUUAGAAUUCAAAAAUGUAAAAGUAAUUACAAAUAGUA
rnacentral:tRNA from 1 species